UCGGGAGGCUUGAGGUGGGAAAAUCGCUUGAACCCAGGAGGAGGUUGCAGUGAGCUGAGAUCGUGCCACUGCACUCCAGCCUGGGCAACAGAGUGAGACACCAUCUCAAAAAAAAAAAAAAAAAGAACCAUACCCUUUCAGAACUGGAGACCUCAGGAUGCUGAACAUUUACUAGAGGAGGAGAUGGAGAGGAAGGUGGCUUGCCCCAAAUCACGCACAAUACAGUCAUUGAGUCAAGCCUAGAAGUUUCUGCUUUUUCCACUAAUCCUCUUCUGCCUCUCUCCUUGGCUGUCCAAUUCAGACAAGCUCCAGGUUUUCACUUGGGCCAUAUCUAAUAAUAGGAAGCUCACCUUGAAUAUACUUUUCUUUCUUUCUUUCUUUCUUUUGAAACAGGGUCUCACUCUGUCACCCAGGCUGGAGUGCAGUGAUACGAUCAUGGCGCACUGCAGCCUCGACCUCCCAGGUUCAAACGAUCCCUCCCACCUCAGCCUCUCAGGUAGCUUGGUGCACAGAUGUGCACCACCACACCCAGCUAACUUUUAAAAAUUAUUUGUAAAGACAGGGUCUCCCUAUCUUGCCCAGGCUGCUCUCAAACCCCUGGACUCAAGUGACCCUCCCUCCUUGGCCUCCCAAAGUGCUGGGAUUACAAGCAUGAGCCACUGCACCCGGCCGACUAUACUCUUGAGAGAUCUGAUUGACUAUCUUUUCCCUAUCUACUCCAUCCCUGUUCUUAAGCGCUUCCCUCCUCCUCCCACGACUGUCUCUCUCAUGAGAGAAGACAAAUAGCCCCCUGUCUCCUUGGACAGGACACCCUGAUCCAGUGCAUCUGAUUGGCUUCCUGCCAACUCAAACAAACAGCCUCCGGCAGAGGGAGAAGUAGAUAUAAAUGGCUCCACAGCCUGGCCACUGCAUCCAUUCCCAGGCUCAUUUCUCCACAAAUUUACUGUUCCUUUCUCCACAAAUCACUUCUGAACUGUGGCUUGGAAGUCUCUGGGCCUCAGUCUGCAGAGACACAGAAGCAAAUGAUUGUAUGAAGCUCCUGACUGUAUGAAGUUCUCAGUCAAACAAAAUAGUACCUCUUCUGCCCAUCUCAGAGGUGGAUAAGGAUAAAGUGAAAUAAUGGAAAGCACAAGGAACAGUAAAAGGCAAAUGUCAAGAAGCUGUUUGCAAAGUUACCAAGAUGUAAAAUUAGAUUUUACUUAUUAAUAAUCAUGUCACUUGUCAUUCUGUUUAUAAUGGUCAAUUCACUGCUGAUAUUCAAGUGGACCGUUUAAACUGUAUUUUUGCUCAGCUAUCCCUCCAAAUAAAUAUCUCAAAAUCUUGACUGUUUAUUUUCUUAGCCCAUCUUAUUUUCCCAGGCCUCAAAGCGUGGCUUCUCAAAUCCCUGGCUUGUCUUCUGAUUCUGGCCAGUCUAGGUGGGGUCUGGCUUCAGUUUGUACAGAUUCUCACUCCCAAUCUCAUAUUGGUCAAACAAACCCAGAAGUAAGAUCUACACGUAUUAAUCAACCAUUCUCAGACCAGGAUUGGAAUAAUUUGAAAA
rnacentral:lncRNA from 10 species